AAUGGACUCUCAGCAACGGAUAUCUUGGCUCUUGCAACGAUGAAGAACGCAGCGAAAUGCGAUACCUAGUGUGAAUUGCAGAAUUCCGCGAAUCAUCGAGUUUUUGAACGCAAGUUGCGCCCGAGGAUUCGUACCAAGGGCAUGUCUGUCUGAGCGUCCGU
rnacentral:rRNA from 1 species